rnacentral:rRNA from 1 species
UACGUAGGGUGCGAACGUUGUCCGGAAUUAUUGGGCGUAAAGAGCUCGUAGGCGGCUCGUUGCGUCGGCUGUGAAAACCCGCGGCUCAACUGUGGGCUUGCAGCUGAUACGGGCGGGCUGGAGUUCGGUAGGGGAGACUGGAAUUCCUGGUGUAGCGGUGAAAUGCGCAGAUAUCAGGAGGAACACCGGUGGCGAAGGCGGGUCUCUGGGCCGAUACUGACGCUGAGGAGCGAAAGCGUGGGGAGCGAACAGG